rnacentral:rRNA from 1 species
AGGUGUUGUGAGAGGACGACCAGCCACACUGGAACUGAGACACGGUCCAGACUCUUACGGGAGGCAGCAGUGGGGAAUUUUGGACAAUGGGCGAAAGCCUGAUCCAGCAAUGCCGCGUGAGUGAAGAAGGCCUUCGGGUUGUAAAGCUCUUUUGUCAGGGAAGAAACGGUGAGGGCUAAUAUCCCUUGCUAAUGACGGUACCUGAAGAAUAAGCACCGGCUAACUACGUGCCAGCAGCCGCGGUAAUACGUAGGGUGCAAGCGUUAAUCGGAAUUACUGGGCGUAAAGCGUGCGCAGGCGGUUUUGUAAGUCUGUCGUGAAAUCCCCGGGCUCAACCUGGGAAUUGCGAUGGAGACUGCAAGGCUAGAAUCUGGCAGAGGGGGGUAGAAUUCCACGUGUAGCAGUGAAAUGCGUAGAGAUGUGGAGGAACACCGAUGGCGAAGGCAGCCCCCUGGGUCAAGAUUGACGCUCAUGCACGAAAGCGUGGGGAGCAAACAGGAUUAGAUACCCUGGUAGUCCACGCCCUAAACGAUGUCUACUAGUUGUCGGGUUUUAAUUAACUUGGUAACGCAGCUAACGCGUGAAGUAGACCGCCUGGGGAGUACGGUCGCAAGAUUAAAACUCAAAGGAAUUGACG